UAGAGAAGUCAAAAAAUUACAAAAACUAUGCAAAGUUGAAGGUGGAACUAGAAAGAAUGUGGGACACCAUCAUUAAAGUUAUUCCUGUAGUGGUAGGAGCAGUGGGGUCCAUCCAAAAGAAUCUGCCACAAUUCCUUGAUCAACUUAAAAUCAAAUAUGAUAUUGACACCAUAAAAAAAAAAAAAACACUGCCUUAUUAAGCACUGCUUAUAUCCUCCAAAAAGUUCUUUGUCUCAAAAAAACAAAAAAAAAAAACAUGAUGAUGAUGAUGAUUAUGAUGUGUGGUAGUAAAUCUUAGGAUACUAAAUGAUAAGAGAAAAGCAAAUCUGUUAAACCCAUAAUCUCUAAUAUUAAUACAAAGAGGAAAACAGCAAAAUUAAAUGAACCUUUUUUUAAAAAAUAUUUGAGAGAUUUCAACUGAAAUAACAAAAUGAACUUAAAAUAAAACACACACACACA